UAGGGAAUCUUCCGCAAUGGACGAAAGUCUGACGGAGCAACGCCGCGUGAGUGAUGAAGGUUUUCGGAUCGUAAAACUCUGUUGUUAGGGAAGAACAAGUAUCGUUCGAAUAGGGCGAUGCCAUGACGGUACCUAACCAGAAAGCCCCGGCUAACUACGUGCCAGCAGCCGCGGUAAUACGUAGGGGGCAAGCGUUGUCCGGAAUUAUUGGGCGUAAAGCGCUCGCAGGCGGUCUUUUAAGUCUGAUGUGAAAGCCCACGGCUUAACCGUGGAGGGUCAUUGGAAACUGGAGGACUUGAGUACAGAAGAGGAGAGUGGAAUUCCACGUGUAGCGGUGAAAUGCGUAGAGAUGUGGAGGAACACCAGUGGCGAAGGCGACUCUCUGGUCUGUAACUGACGCUGAGGAGCGAAAGCGUGGGGAGCAAACA
rnacentral:rRNA from 1 species